rnacentral:SRP_RNA from 1 species
CCGCACUAGUCGGGGAGUCAGCGGUGCCCUGUCACCUGCAACCCGCUACAGCAGGGAUGAAUUCCGGCCCCCGGAUAUGUGAUGUGUCGUCAGCCUCAGGUAAGCGGCGUUGACGAGCCGGUCUCGCGCAACGUAAAUUCGUGAACCAUGUCAGGCGGGGAACCGAGCAGCAUUAAGCGAA